ensembl:lncRNA
AUGGACCUUUGUGAUGUGAAACCAAGGCGUGUGGUUGCAAAUGGAAAGUGUGUCUCCACUGGUCGGGUUGAAGGGUACUCCACACCACACCCUCCACCACCCGCCCACACACACCCAGCCUCUCCAGCAGCUUCAGCGGAGCUAUCAAGGCCAAGUUUGACUGCCAGGAAGGAGCUGGGAGCAGCCAAAGAGGCUGAACAUGUCAGACUUCUCUCCCAGCCUGCCACACACACUUAAAACCUAAAGGAAAUAAGCCGGGAUCAAUGGGAGGAAGGGAGCCAACCAGGUGGCUUAGGACUUGUACUGGUGAAAGGAGAGCCCACACCUCUCAAGAAUCUCCAAAGUGCUGAAGAAAUAAGACUUUUAAAAAUGUCAUGGGAAUUUUGCGAAGGCCAAGUAAGGACAUAACUGAUUCUCCAUGGUGAAAGUUUAACCAAAGUUGACAAAAACCACCACCGUCUACUAUAAAAGCGUUGUGGAUAUGUACCAAGAAGGACUUCACAUACUUGAUAUGACACUGCUGAUAGAGAAGUUAUUUCGGUGGGAAGAAUAGAACUUUAUCCUGAUAACAUCAUGAGUGUGGCUUUGAGGACCAAACAGUUCCUAAAUCCUACAGCCUAUGAUAGUUCCAUUGCUUGAUCAAGUUUAACAGUUUUUUUCUCCUUUCAUAAUGGUUUAUCACCUAGAUACAUUUUUCUACACCAUCCGAAAAGGAAAGAGAACUUCAGGGGCCAAAAAACCCACAAAGGCAGAGAAGAUAAUCAUUUGAAAGUAUUAAUGGCAGUAAGAAAAUCUUGAAAGAACAAUAGUUUUGUUUUGGUUUUUUUGGUCUGUCUCAAAGAAUGCUUUGACAAAUCUGAUCUGUGCACUUUUCCUGAGUCCCUGGCUUUGAAAUCAAAUCUGGUUUUAAUACAUAGCAGGUAUCAUCAGAGUACUUGGGUCUGUAAUUGAAGGAAAGUUGAGAUGGAGGGUGGGAAGGGAUUAGUUUGAUGCUUUCAUGGCUUGGCACAUCUGUGAAUGUUAGAAUAUAGAAGGAGAUGGAUAUCCAGGUUUAGAUCAGACCUAUCCGGAUGCAGGAGGCACAGAGUUUAGAUUGAAGGUGGCUAUUCAUCUCGAGGUUCAAAUGCUCAUCUUCCAAAGUCUGCCAAAAGGGUGUCAGCCUAUGGAGGGCAGUCUGUUUCUGUUCUUGGUCUGGUUCUUCCCUGAGCAAUAAUAAUUCCAGAAACAUAAACUCUCAUGACACAUAUCAACAUGUCUUUUUCUGAUGUUGGCCCCAAACUGGAAGUUAAACAAUCUGGCCUGAAUUCAGGGCAUCAAAAUGAAAAAAAAAAUAGACUCAAAUUCACAUAAAUUUAGCAGUUUUUUGUAAUAUAAUUCAAUUUAAAUAUUUGUAUAUAUUUAUAUAUGUACAUCCAUAUAUCCACACAUAUAUGUGUGUGUAUAUGUAUGAGGCAGCUAUUUGGCACUGUGGAUAGAGUGUUGGCCCUGGACUCAGAAACACCUGAGUUCAGAUCUGACUUCAGAUACUAAACCAGCUUUGUGACUCCGAGCAAGUCAUUAACCCUCUUUGCCUCAGUUUCUUCAUGUGUAAAAUAAGCUAGAGAAGGAAAUGGCAAACCAUCCCAGUACCUUUGCCAAGACAAAAAAAAAGAUUAAAUAUCAGCAAACAAAAAGUGCAUGAAGGGGAGCAAUAUGAAAUGACUGGGAAGGUAGAUGUGAGCCAGAUGAUGGAGUUCUUGAAAUUCUAGGUUUAUGGUUUUGUGUUUUAUUCUAAAAGCAAAAGGGAGCUGUUGUUUUUUUUUUUUUUCUGAAGGGCAGGGAGUGGGGAGGGGAUGAUGGGGGCAAAAUAGGUUUUUAGGAAUUUGUUAACUUUGUGGGAGAUAGACCAGGGGCAACGAAGCAAAUGGAGAUGAGGAGACCAAAUAUAGAUGAAUACUUUGUCAUCUGUUUUUUUCCUCCCUUUUUCAAAGAUACAUCCUUUUUGAAUUGAGUUUUUUUGUUCUUUUUCUGUACGUAGCCAAAAAUAAAACUUCUUUGCAUUGA